UCCUACGGGAGGCAGCAGUCGAGGAUCAUUCGCAAUGGGCGAAAGCCUGACGAUGCGACGCUGCGUGGAGGAUGAAGGCCUUCGGGUCGUAAACUCCUGUCGUACGGGAAAAACGGCGGGCGGGUUAAUAACCCGUCCGAGUGAUGGUACCGUAAGAGGAAGCCACGGCUAACUCUGUGCCAGCAGCCGCGGUAAU
rnacentral:rRNA from 1 species